rnacentral:ncRNA from 1 species
CUAUCUUUACAGCUUAUUGGUUUUACACCAUUGUUUGAGAAAUAACGGUGAAAUUAAAAGGGAAUUCUGUUAAAAUCAGAAGCUGUUCCCGCAACUGUACGCUUAGUCCCAUUUUUUUGGGAUGCUUAUUGUGAAAACUACUUACCACUGUCACCACAUGCGUGAUGGGAAGGUGCACACUAAGACGCAAGCCAGGAGACCUGCCAAUGCAACAACUUUUAA